rnacentral:lncRNA from 1 species
CACGACAACCAUGACUACUACCAACACCUCUACAUCGACCAACAACACCACCACCACUACCAACUACAACAACAGCAACAACAAACAUAGAAUAUUGAACUAGUGCUAGUUCAAGAAUAAACAAGACUUACUUCUGUAAACUACCGAUGCUAUAUAUGUUUAGAUAUCAGAUAAUGCAAUGAAUGUUGAAGAACAAAGAAUCACAGAAUCACAGAAUCAAAGAAUCAAAAGAAAGAGUAAAAAGAGACAGAAAUUUUUGAAUGAAUAAACGCAUGAGUUACCAGAAAGGAAAGGAAGCGCAUUAUAUAGUGUGGUGUUGGCGCUUUUAAAAAUGGCAGCAAAUUUGUAAAUUCGUUAGAGCGGCAGCUAGGAUGGCUAGCUUUCGAUAUUUGUUCUUUGAUGCUAUUGCUGGUUCAAAUCUCGCUGAAGCCGACUUGGCAUUUUAUUGCUUUGGUAUCGAUGGAUAAAAUAUUAAUAGAUCAAUG